AUUGAACGCUGGCGGAAUGCUUUACACAUGCAAGUCGAACGGCAGCACGGGGCAACCUGGUGGCGAGUGGCGAACGGGUGAGUAAUACAUCGGAACGUGCCCAAUCGUGGGGGAUAACGUAGCGAAAGUUACGCUAAUACCGCAUACGAUCUACGGAUGAAAGCGGGGGAUCGCAAGACCUCGCGCGAAUGGAGCGGCCGAUGUCAGAUUAGGUAGUUGGUGGGGUAAAGGCUCACCAAGCCAAUGAUCUGUAGCUGGUCUGAGAGGACGACCAGCCACACUGGAACUGAGACACGGUCCAGACUCCUACGGGAGGCAGCAGUGGGGAAUUUUGGACAAUGGGCGCAAGCCUGAUCCAGCCAUUCCGCGUGCAGGAUGAAGGCCUUCGGGUUGUAAACUAGCUUUUGUACGGUAACGAAACGGUACUGCCCUAAUACGGACGGGCGUAAUGUACGGUAACCGUAAGAAUAAAGACACCGGCUAACUAACGUGCCAGCAGCCGCGGUAAGGACG
rnacentral:rRNA from 1 species